rnacentral:rRNA from 1 species
GAUGAACGCUGGCGGCGUGCCUAACACAUGCAAGUCGAACGAGCAAAUACAUUUGAUUUCUUCGGAAUGAAGAUGUAGGCGCGAGUGGCGGACGGGUGAGUAACGCGUGAGUAAUCUGCCUCAUACAGGAGAAUAACACUAAGAAAUUGGUGCUAAUACUCCAUAAGCUCACAUUAUGACAUCAUAGAGUGAGAAAAGAUUUAUCGGUAUGAGAGGAGCUCGCGUCUGAUUAGCUAGUUGGUGGGGUAACGGCCUACCAAGGCAACGAUCAGUAGCCGACCUGAGAGGGUGAUCGGCCACAUUGGAACUGAGACACGGUCCAAACUCCUACGGGAGGCAGCAGUGGGGAAUAUUGCACAAUGGGGGGAACCCUGAUGCAGCAACGCCGCGUGAAGGAAGAAGUAUUUCGGUAUGUAAACUUCUAUCGACAGGGAAGAAACAAAUGACGGU